UACAGAGGUCCCAAGCGUUGUUCGGAUUCACUGGGCGUAAAGGGUGCGUAGGUGGCCGGGUAAGUCUGGUGUGAAAUCUCCGAGCUCAACUCGGAAACUGCAUUGGAUACUAUCCGGCUAGAGGAUCGGAGGGGAGACUGGAAUACUUGGUGUAGCAGUGAAAUGCGUAGAUAUCAAGUGGAACACCAGUGGCGAAGGCGAGUCUCUGGACGAUUCCUGACGCUGAGGCACGAAAGCUAGGGGAGCAAACAGG
rnacentral:rRNA from 1 species